AAUGAUCCAACGGCCGUAAUGGAGACAUGACACUGGUUAAAUACAACUGAGGAUGAUUGGGAGUGGAAGCACCUGGGUGAAUACAGACCAUGGACAGUUCUGAAGCCCAGUUUGAACUUCUUCAUCGUCUUCACCAAGUCUACAAGAGAACAGACAGAGGCACUUUGUGGAACAGAUUUUGAUUCUUGAUCAGGUGUGAGUGAGAUGAAGAACUCAAAGAGCACAAACAGAUGACGGCAGACAGCCAAUAGG